rnacentral:rRNA from 1 species
CAGCAGCCACGGUAAUGCGUAGGGUGCAAGCGUUAAUCGGAAUUACUGGGCGUAAAGCGUGCGCAGGCGGUUUGUUAAGACAGAUGUGAAAUCCCCGGGCUCAACCUGGGAACUGCAUUUGUGACUGGCAAGCUAGAGUGUGGCAGAGGGGGGUGGAAUUCCACGUGUAGCAGUGAAAUGCGUAGAGAUGUGGAGGAACACCGAUGGCGAAGGCAGCCCCCUGGGCCAAUACUGACGCUCAUGCACGAAAGCGUGGGGAGCAAACAGGAUUAGAUACCCCGGUAGUCCCUGUCUCUUAUAC